rnacentral:rRNA from 1 species
CAGCCGCCGCGGUAAUACGUAGGGUGCGAGCGUUAAUCGGAAUUACUGGGCGUAAAGCGUGCGCAGGCGGUUGUGUAAGACAGGUGUGAAAUCCCCGGGCUUAACCUGGGAACUGCCCUUGUGACUGCACAGCUAGAGUAUGGCAGAGGGGGGUGGAAUUCCACGUGUAGCAGUGAAAUGCGUAGAGAUGUGGAGGAACACCGAUGGCGAAGGCAGCCCCCUGGGCCAAUACUGACGCUCAUGCACGAAAGCGUGGGGAGCAAACAGGAUUAGAUACCCCUGUAGUCCCUGUCUCUUAUAC